AUGAAUCGUUAUCUCCAGGAGACAGAAAAAUAUUGCCUGCUAAAGCUGUUAGCAGAUAAUGACAAUGAGGAAUUGAACUUCCACUAUCCCACAGAUGCCCCCAUCUCCUGGGGGAAACAGAGGCUGAAAAUGCACAGAGCUCCCAGACCCACCUUCAUGCAAUGUGGUGUGAUGGAAUCUCAUGAUGUGUGGGUCACAAAGAGCAUCACAGAGUGUGGGUGCCACUCAAAUGAAGUGUUGAUGCCUUCCAGGUCCCACCACACCCCUGGCACAGAUCUGAUCUCCAGACAGGCUGCAGGCCACCAUUCAGGUGCAGUUCAGAUGCAGUUAUCACCCCUCCAAUUAAUAUUCUCUGGCAUCUCAUGCUCCACAAGCAACAAGGAAAACAAGUGUAAAACUCCUGCCUUGAAAUACUGCCAAGUGCCAGGACAUAAGCGCACUGCUUACUUUUAAUAAAACACUCAAGAGGCCUGCAAUAAGCUCCCACAAGGCAGCAAAGAACAAAAGCUCCCAGCCACUCCUGCUCACCUCCACAGAUGUUUCCUUCCUGCACACAGCCACGUGGAUGUCCUUGGGAAGAGAAUCCACGCUCUGUUCUUCUUCAGGGAAACAAGAUAGCUAUCUGUUUAUAAAAAUGGAUAAAUACACUUCAAAGUCAUGCCGAAACUCUUGACUCUACAAUCACUGUUGCUGUAACCCUAUGAAGCAGGGUCCCCUGUGCUUGCAAGGUCUGUCUCAGCCCUGCACCAGCUGCUGGGAGCAGAACUACUCAGGGUUUCUUGUAUUGUAUGGCUGAAAGGUGGGAUGCUGCUGCAGGCAGCCCUACCUGUGGAAAUACCACCUUCCUGAGCACCCCACACCCUGAUCAGCAUGAUGCCUGGAGUCCCUCAGGAUACCUCAGGGACACAUAGAAAGUUUGGGGAGUGCUGCACCUUGCAAAAUGAAAUCAACACAAACUCUGGAAAGGUAAAACAUGAGUUAAUCCAGGGAAGUGCUUGUUUUUUUCCUACUUCUCUAAAAUGAAGUUUAUGUUUACACAAAUGGAUGGCACCUCCAAUAGGCGGACAAUGAGAGGAAGAAGGCUUUCCUACACUUAAAGAUACUUUUACACAGGAAUGCAGUAUACACUCUGAAAAGAAGGAAACUAACACUCAGCAUGAGCUUUCAACUUCAAACAAGUGGGGUAACUGUGUGAAAUUAAAGCUGAAUGUGUAUUUUGAUAUCUGAACAGGAAAGCUGACAUCUUCUAUGGGUACAAAUGCCUUUAUUUCGUAGGAAUAACUCUUAUGGCUUGGGAUGUGUCUUCCAUCCUCACAGCAGGAAAGAGGAUUUCCAGGAUACAGACAACAUUCAGCACCUCAGGAAUCACAGCAUGGUCCCCUCCUGGCCUAUGGAAGAUGGACAAUAGAGAAAGAUGGGCACUUUCUGCAGGUAUGUGAAGCAAGCUGAAAAACAACUGCCACCUGGAAGUAGCUGUACUGGUUAGGCUGUUUGGUACCUUGUUUGAGGGUCUGAUGUCAAGAGGCAGGAAUCCAGGCCACAGCUCUGAAAAACCUUUCAUGAUAUCACAGCUGAAACUUGUCUUUGUGGUGCCCCUUUCUGUUUCCAUCCAUAAGUUGGCAAUAGACAUUUGCUUAAAGCACAGAGCUAGUGUGACCAGAAAAAGAGGAAAUAACUUAGAAAUAACUGCUGAGAAAUAAUGUGAUUGAACCAGAUUUUCCCAAACACUGCAGAUGGAUCCCAGAUAGGUGCCUACUAUGGAAAAAUAUAAGAGGAGGUGAUCCAAAAGUGCCAUAGAAAGGCUAAAUACUACCCACAACACAGCUAACUAACUUACAGUGGUAUUUAUAUAUGAAGUAAUGCACUGAAGGAUGCCAUACAUCUUCUGCAAGAGCUCAGCUGAUGUGAGCUUUAGACCCAAGGAACUCAGGGAUUCAAAGAACCAUCAGCUCACACUUACCUCUCUCUCUAGCGGGAUGGGAUCUUCCAGGGAAAAUGAAGCAGGCAUAGGUGAAAAAGGGAGGUGGGAAGACGGGACCACCAAUGACCUGUUUUCAGACCUCAGUGGACAGGACUCUUCCACCUAGAUUUACAUUCCCAGUCCUCAACCAGACAGCAACUGAGUCAGAGUUGCAUGUUCUGUUGUGUACCUGCAGAAGGAAGCUCACGGGAAUCUUGGAUGUAUGUUUGCUGUGUAUGUACAGACCAACAUUACGAAUCAUGCUAUCCUCAUUGCAGGCUUGAUGCCUCUAGGAGGAAAGAGAUCCCACUUUGACAGUAUCUAUCUGCUGUGACGGCUCACUUGCCAAAAAAAAAAAAAAAGGCCUUUGUGAAACAGCCUUUCAAGUUCAAAUUUUACUCUUAUCUUAAUUCUCUUUUGUCUACAGUGGAGACGUUUAUGUUAAUGGCUCUUUUGUUUUGUCUGUAGUGUCCUCUAGACUGUUUGGACACUGUGUGAGCAGUGUGUCAGGCCAGAGCUGACGCACUCCAGUGAAGCAGUCAGCCAGCAGAAUUAAUCACAGCUUGUAAACUCUACAUAGCAAAACAAAACAAAAUAAUAAUAAUAAAUCCUGACUUCUGCACUGAUAAACA
ensembl:lncRNA